AACCGAAUUAGCUAGAUCUCACUGCGGUUUGUGUGGUGAUUAGCGGGUAGCUUUAUAAAACCGCAGUGAGGGGUGAUAAAUGAGUCGAUAGCUAUUAUACCUGUUUUAGGGACUAUUAUUUCAGUACAGGAUGCCACCGAAGAGGAUGGAAUCCAAACUAUAUUCUUACUUGACAGUAAUAAUCCGAGGGUUAGGGUUACCCCCGGCUAGAAUUAAUGUUAAAAUUUUUUUCUUUUUGGGWGAAUUAGUGUUAGUGUCCUUAUACKGUACUUUUUGCAUUUAAGUAUGAGUUAAUUAGUAAUUAUAUUAAUCACAAUUUAUCUCUGUGCUAGUCCGACUGUUUAUUAAAAACAUUUCCGCGCGUUUGGGUUGCGCGGUAAAACCUGCCCUGUGAUUAUUUUAACGGCCGCAGUAUAUUGACUGUGCGAAGGUAGCAUAAUUAAUUGCCCCAUAAUUGGGGGCUUGUUUGAAUGGUUUCACGUGAUUAGGUUGUAAAAUUGUGAUUUUAGUUGAAUUUAAUUUGACGAGUACAGAAUCUGUCAAGGUUAAUAAGACGGAAAGACCCCGGGAUCUUUGAUUUUUGUCUGGGGCGGAUUUUGUUGGUUCAACAUGUUUAUGACCCGAAGUUUAAAGGUUUAAGUUACCCCGGGGAUAACAGUGUUAUAGCCUAUUAGAGUUCUUAUCGAGUAGGCUGAUUGCUACCUCGAUGUUGACUUGGGUGUUAUUAAAGGUGUAGUAGUUUUUAAUAGAGGUCUKUUCGACCUA
rnacentral:rRNA from 1 species